rnacentral:antisense_RNA from 1 species
ACCUCGGGGGUUUCCUGCUUUAUGGCGAAGGGCCAGGGCCCCACACACCUCCCGCCUGACAGCCAGCCAAGCUCUUCAGUCCCCCGCCCUCCACCUGCCAGGGAGGCUCCGGGCGUUAUACCUGCCACCACGGGGUAGGUCUGACACAUAUACUCAUAGAAAUGAGUUAUUUAAAGAAGACGGUCCAGAUUCCACAGUCCAAAAAAAAAAAGAGGUUUGCCCUGCUUCCGAAGGAGUCAGGAUAUGAAUGCAGAGGUCUUCCUGUUGGCUCACAUAUCAGACCUUCAACGUCAACAUUAAAUGCUGAAAGAACAUCAGUGUAUCAGCACAGCAAAUAUUCCAAAUGCCAGGCUGGAUUCCCUCCAAUUACCAGAACCUCCAGGCUUCUCCUCCUUUCAAGAACUUUCUGACCCUGGAUCCAGUCUAAAUGUUGGUUAUAAACUCACCUGACAUCCACAGGGCCCUUCCAAAGUACUGUCAAGGCUGACUGCUGGUGCCUGGAACCUGCACACCCU